rnacentral:rRNA from 1 species
UACGUAGGGUGCAAGCGUUGCCCGGAAUUAUUGGGCGUAAAGAGCUCGUAGGCGGUUCGUCGCGUCGGCUGUGAAAACCCGGAGCUCAACUCCGGGCCUGCAGUCGAUACGGGCGGACUCGAGUUCGGCAGGGGAGACUGGAAUUCCUGGUGUAGCGGUGAAAUGCGCAGAUAUCAGGAGGAACACCGGUGGCGAAGGCGGGUCUCUGGGCCGAUACUGACGCUGAGGAGCGAAAGCGUGGGGAGCGAACAGG